rnacentral:rRNA from 1 species
UAAUACAUGCAAGUCGAGCGAAUGGAUUAAGAGCUUGCUCUUAUGAAGUUAGCGGCGGACAGGUGAGUAACACGUGGGUAACCUGCCCAUAAGACUGGGAUAACUCCGGGAAACCGGGGCUAAUACCGGAUAACAUUUUGAACCGCAUGGUUCGAAAUUGAAAGGCGGCUUCGGCUGUCACUUAUGGAUGGACCCGCGUCGCAUUAGCUAGUUGGUGAGGUAACGGCUCACCAAGGCAACGAUGCGUAGCCGACCUGAGAGGGUGAUCGGCCACACUGGGACUGAGACACGGCCCAGACUCCUACGGGAGGCAGCAGUAGGGAAUCUUCCGCAAUGGACGAAAGUCUGACGGAGCAACGCCGCGUGAGUGAUGAAGGCUUUCGGGUCGUAAAACUCUGUUGUUAGGGAAGAACAAGUGCUAGUUGAAUAAGCUGGCACCUUGACGGUACCUAACCAGAAAGCCACGGCUAACUACGUGCCAGCAGCCGCGGUAAUACGUAGGUGGCAAGCGUUAUCCGGAAUUAUUGGGCGUAAAGCGCGCGCAGGUGGUUUCUUAAGUCUGAUGUGAAAGCCCACGGCUCAACCGUGGAGGGUCAUUGGAAACUGGGAGACUUGAGUGCAGAAGAGGAAAGUGGAAUUCCAUGUGUAGCGGUGAAAUGCGUAGAGAUAUGGAGGAACACCAGUGGCGAAGGCGACUUUCUGGUCUGUAACUGACACUGAGGCGCG